AAAAAACAUACCCUUAUAAAAAUGCGCAUCAGCAGCAAAAUGCAAAUUCUGCCUAAACUUUUAGCACUUCUCAUUUGAAGCACACCCUGGCAGAAGAAAGAAAUGCAAACACUUGCAUUUAUGAGGUGUCUUGGGGUCCAAAAGGGUGAAAGAGCAUUCAUCUGUUCAACCCCUCAGACACCCAGCGGAUUCAAGAGUUUGCUUGUGUGGAUGGAGCUAUAGCGACUGAGUCAGUGAUAUUGACUGAGCCAGAGGAUCACUUGAUUUUGCCAUCUUCUGACAAGAAAUACUGAAACCCACUGUGUCUCGGGAAGGGCGGGAUAAAAAUACUCAA
rnacentral:lncRNA from 1 species